ACAUCCAGAGAACUUAGCAGAGAUGCUUUGGUGCCUUCGGGAACUCUGAGACAGGUGCUGCAUGGCUGUCGUCAGCUCGUGUUGUGAAAUGUUGGGUUAAGUCCCGCAACGAGCGCAACCCUUAUCCUUUGUUGCCAGCGAUUCGGUCGGGAACUCAAAGGAGACUGCCGGUGAUAAACCGGAGGAAGGUGGGGAUGACGUCAAGUCAUCAUGGCCCUUACGAGUAGGGCUACACACGUGCUACAAUGGCGCAUACAAAGAGAAGCGACCUCGCGAGAGCAAGCGGACCUCAUAAAGUGCGUCGUAGUCCGGAUCGGAGUCUGCAACUCGACUCCGUGAAGUCGGAAUCGCUAGUAAUCGUGGAUCAGAAUGCCACGGUGAAUACGUUCCCGGGCCUUGUACACACCGCCCGUCACACCAUGGGAGUGGGUUGCAAAAGAAGUAGGUAGCUUAACCUUCGGGAGGGCGCUUACCACUUUGUGAUUCAUGACUGGGGUGAAGUCGUAACAAGGUAAGCGUAGAUGA
rnacentral:rRNA from 1 species